UCGGGAUGCUUGUUUUGAUUCUGUUAGCCAUCAUCUGCAUCAAGAAGUCUUCUGGUCCUCUAAUCUUUUGGCCCUUGAAAUUCAUCUGGGUGCUGAUCUUUUACUUCGUUGUCAGUAUUCCUUGGAGUUGGUUAUGUGUGUACCAGGUUGCCUUCUUUGAGCAUCAAAACAUCAUCAGAAAAACCGUAAACCUCAAUGAAGAAUGUAAAGGAAUACAAGAAAUGGAUUGGACUGAUGGUUUGAAAGAGUGGUUCAGAACCAGCAGGCCUCUCCAUGACGACCCAUAAAGAUUACUAUGCGUUUUUUAGAACCAGUCCUCUCCUUCUUGUAUGUCCAACCAAGGUAGUAUCAUUUACCUUCAGGAUUUUAAUGAAAGACCCACUAAGACACUUUGGGGAGGGGAUAAGUGAGCUUCAUCGAGCAGUCCUAAAACAUCUGCCAGUUACCCUUCAGUUUCCAGUCUUCAUGAUCAUCAUGCUCAUCACUUUGUGGUUCAUGAAUGAAAGUGUAGAGCCUGGCUCGCAACACUACACCAAGACUGAAGAAUAAGCUGCAAGACCCUCCUUCAGGAGUGAAGGAUGGUGAUCGGAUGUCUGCAUCUGACCAGGAUUGUGACCAAGCUGCUGAUAGAAGUCUUGUCGAUAACGUGGGAAGUAGCAUCACUGCAGAGACAUUGGGCUUUGUCAAACCUCAACUUAGAAAAAAUGCAAACAAAGAAAAUGUUGAGGCGACUGAGAGUCCCUCUGUUAGUUCAAGGUUCACAAACCAGCAGAAGACACCUGAGAAGCCUGCUGCCAACACGGAUGAACCAGACAGCUUAUGCCCAGUCAACUUGAAUCCUUCACAGGCUCAUCUGGAGGACAAUGAAGACUUCAAGGAAGACGACACGUCCUCCAUGUCUCUAAGAAACCUUUUUAAGCUACCGACUUCUGUUCAAGAGACAAGUCCAAAGUUAGUGGAUUAGACUUCAAAGCAAAGUUUGAUCUCCAUUUAACAGCUUGACUCAUAUUUUGAUAGUAGAAUUGUCUUGCGAACAGCAAAACGUCUCCUCUCUGAUAAGCUGAAUUUAGGUGCAACAAGACACUUUGCUCUUUUAUCAGGAAUGUUUUAUUUUUCUCUAGAUACAAAGGGAAAUGUUCCCCUGUGAUUUGUACUAGUUGUAUUACUUUUGCAAGAAAAGACUUUUGAAGAAACACGUGAGCAAUAAACAAAAAAAUUCUAAAUAAGACAAAAUAAAUUGUUCUUUUAGUAUUUUUAUUUUUAAGAAAAAAUUAUGUAUUUUUUUGUUAUGAACACUUGGUAGGCAUUUAUUGUAAUUGCACAGCUCAUACAUUCAGAAACAUGUACAUGGUAGACAUUUAGCACUAUAAGGAGAGUUAGAAAGUUACAAAUGUUAUUUUAUAAAGAUUUAAAAAAUACUUUUUGCUGAGGAUGUUAAUCAGUGAUUCAGCUCCAUUUUACAUUUUAGUGUUGUUUGUUGUUCACUGGUUCUCUGUGACUUAAGAAGUGGACAUUUAUACAAUGAGAUGAAAAUAUUUUUCUGUGAAAAAUUACUUUGAAUGUGUAUUUUUGUCCGUAUUAAAACAACCAGAAUUACCUGCUUACCUGGAAAUUUGCCUGUUCAUCAUCAGGGCAAAUUUCAGAAAUUGGUGAGGCUUUUCAGCUAUGGUUGACAGACGUUUUAUUACAGUGUAUCCAGAGUCUUGGUUUUCUUCUGCUGAAAUAGACCUAAAAUGUGAAAUUCUGCAUUAUUGUUAUUUUAGCUCAUGUAAUACUAACGUGCAGUUUUGAGAGUUUUGUUAAAUAACUGGAGUUAUUGUGGUAGUAAAGCUUAAGUUGUGCUUCUACCUCAGCAAAGCGUUCCCAUGUAUAGAAAUUGUGUAAAAUAAAGCACUGAAUUUAAUAA